UCUUCCCUCUGGCGGCGUGCCUAAUACAUGCAAGUCGAGCGAACGGACGAGAAGCUUGCUUCUCUGAUGUUAGCGGCGGACGGGUGAGUAACACGUGGAUAACCUACCUAUAAGACUGGGAUAACUUCGGGAAACCGGAGCUAAUACCGGAUAUUAUUUUGAACCGCAUGGUUCAAAAGUGAAAGACGGUCUUGCUGUCACUUAUAGAUGGAUCCGCGCUGCAUUAGCUAGUUGGUAAGGUAACGGCUUACCAAGGCAACGAUGCAUAGCCGACCUGAGAGGGUGAUCGGCCACACUGGAACUGAGACACGGUCCAGACUCCUACGGGAGGCAGCAGUAGGGAAUCUUCCGCAAUGGGCGAAAGCCUGACGGAGCAACGCCGCGUGAGUGAUGAAGGUCUUCGGAUCGUAAAACUCUGUUAUUAGGGAAGAACAUAUGUGUAAGUAACUGUGCACAUCUUGACGGUACCUAAUCAGAAAGCCACGGCUAACUACGUG
rnacentral:rRNA from 1 species